UGUAAUGUUGUUUCAGAUAAUUUUCAUAUCAUAUUAAAUCAUAUUAAGAUACUGUGCGUGUGUGUGUGUGCGCGCGCGUCUGUGUUCUGUUGUGUGUGUGUUAUUUUGCAGCUUACAGCUCAUUCAAGUGCCACUGGUCUUGCAGUAUUUCAUCUUUUCCAAACAACCGAGUAAAUUUACAGCUCAUUCAAGUGCCACUGGUCUGUUUUUGGAGAAUUUCAUCUUUAAGGUGCUGUGAGAAAGAGCCAUGUCUUCCGU